ACCUUGAGGUUUACUUUAAAGGACAAGUUAAUCGGAAAGCCCACGGUUAGCAUAUAGAUCUGAGGCUAACCUUACGGUGGAAAGAGCAAAGGUUGAAUUGGAAAGGAAAUUAUUUCUUUUCGAGAAUUUUUUUAAAAGCAGUCAUAACCUAUGCUUCGGUUGCAUAGACUUAUUAUUUAAUACCAACAUUGCAGGUUGUGCAAAAUAGGUUUUUUUUUAAUGUUCUUAAAUGCGCUUUGGUUUUCUACUUUGCGUGUUGAAAAGUGGGUCAUCUCGGCAUUCUUUUCGCCAUUCCAACUGCAGGGGAAGUUAUUUUGUUUUUAAGAAUCGUGUUGAACUCUAAAAAAUCACUCGCUCAUACCACGUGGUAUAAGUGAUCUUGGUUUAUAGCUUUGGCCAUAGUCGAAAUCGAGACUCUGCUGCCUCUUUCUCCAUGUUGUGAAGUAGUCUCGUGGUAUAAUACCCUUUCUCUACGGGGCACUUUGUUGAUCUCUUCUCCUCUUAUCUCUGUCGUUAGGCGGUGGGAAAGCAACCAGUUUGUAAUACAGUAGAGGGUUGUAUAUACUUAUACGAUUUAUGAAGUUAACCGUGUAAGCAGAACAAGGAAGGCAAAAAAUCAAUCAAUCGUUUAUUGUUCUUCAGUUUUGUUUCUUCAGGCUCUUUAGGUUACUUUUUUUUUCACGUAUGGCAUAU